UACGGGGGGGGGCAAGCGUUGUUCGGAAUUACUGGGCGUAAAGGGUUCGUAGGUGGCCAACUAAGUCAUACGUGCAAUCCCUCAGCUUAACUGGGGAACUGCGUCUGAUACUGGAUGGCUUGAGAUUGGGAGAGGGAUGCGGAAUUCCAGGUGUAGCGGUGAAAUGCGUAGAUAUCUGGAGGAACACCGGUGGCGAAGGCGGCAUCCUGGACCAACACUGACGCUGAGGAGCGAAAGCCAGGGGAGCAAACGGG
rnacentral:rRNA from 1 species